UACACACCAUAAAACAUUAAUUAAAAUGCAAACUUGGUAAUCAUUAGAAAUGUCAAGAGUAGCAACAAACACUUAGUAGUUAAAUGAAAUAAUAGCUAAGGAGCCAAGUGCACAUCAAGGUCAUUUUAGAAUAUUUGCUGACCAGUCAGUGCUAUUAUCAUCUAUAAAAGGAAUGUCCUUUGUACAGCAAAAGUAUCCAAAGGAAAAAUGCCACCAUCUCAGCUUAUAGAAGAAGAUUUGUGGAAACCAGAUUAAGAACUCCUGCUUGGGAUAGAAGUGGAACCAAGAAAAAAUAUGUACAAUGACUGAAAUAAUGAAUAAUAAAGUGGAAGAAUUCCAUGGAGACUGGAACGACCUCCAGGAAGUGAUGCAGAGCGAGAGGAGCAGAACCAGGAGAACAUUAUACACAGAGACUGAUACACUGUGGUACAAUCUAAUGUAAUGGACUUCUCUACUAGCAGCAAUGCAAUGAUCCAGGACAAUACAGAGGAACUUAUGAGAAAGAACACUAUCCAUAUUCAGAGGAAGAACUAUGUUCAAUGAGGUUCAGCACCAACUUUCUCCUCUCAGGGAUGUGACCCUCUCAAGGCAAGAAUCUGAGGUCACAGAAGAGACUGGCCAGUCAACAACUGAGGUAGGCUUUACUUUCUAUCCAAAUGAAAUAUUUGUUGGG
rnacentral:lncRNA from 1 species